CAAGUACAGCUUUCUAAAAGCGUCUUUUGUGUAUCGGAAAGAACAGAUAUUAUUUAUAACAUCUGUAGAAAAUAUUACUGCACAAAUUCUAGUAAGUAUGAAGACAGACACGAGUAAAAAUUCAUAAAUUAUUUAUUAUAUUUAUCUUUUCAAAUGAUACGAUAAUAAAAUUCAGUAAAUUUAAGAAGCUUAAAAAUUCAAAAUUCAAAUAAUUAAGUUUAAUUUUUCGCCAUGUUAAAUUAUUAUAUCUGUACACACUAAAACACUCGUAUGUUGAAGAGCUCCGGCACUAUAAAGUUGAAUUACCCCAAAUUUUAUUACGUUAUCUUAUCCAGAACUGCACAAAACAAAUUUUAAUUAUUUUACCAAUCAUUCUUUGUGAUAAAAUUUGUAUGUGUCGAAUUUUCGGAAAUCAAAAUUUUGGAGUCCACCCGUUUCUGUAUAAGUGUGCAAACAUUGCAGACCUUUGUGUGCGUUAUU